GAGGGGCAGCAUGGUCUUAGCUUGCUAAGGCUGAUGGCGACCGGCGCACGGGUGAGUAACACGUAUCCAACCUGCCGUCUACUCUUGGCCAGCCUUCUGAAAGGAAGAUUAAUCCAGGAUGGCAUCAUGAGUUCACAUGUCCGCAUGAUUAAAGGUAUUUUCCGGUAGACGAUGGGGAUGCGUUCCAUUAGAUAGUAGGCGGGGUAACGGCCCACCUAGUCAACGAUGGAUAGGGGUUCUGAGAGGAAGGUCCCCCACAUUGGAACUGAGACACGGUCCAAACUCCUACGGGAGGCAGCAGUGAGGAAUAUUGGUCAAUGGGCGAUGGCCUGAACCAGCCAAGUAGGCGUGAAGGAUGACUGCCCUAUGGGUUGUAAACUUCUUUUAUAAAGGAAUAAAGUCGGGUAUGCAUACCCGUUUGCAUGUACUUUAUGAAUAAGGAUCGGCUAACUCCGUGCCAGCAGCCGCGGUAAUACGGAUGGAUCCGAGCGUUAUCCGGAUUUAUUGGGUUUAAAGGGAGCGUAGAUGGAUGUUUAAGUCAGUUGUGAAAGUUUGCGGCUCAACCGUAAAAUUGCAGUUGAUACUGGAUGUCUUGAGUGCAGUUGAGGCAGGCGGAAUUCGUGGUGUGAGCGGUGAAAUGCUUAGAUAUCACGAAGAACUCCGAUUGCGAAGGCAGCC
rnacentral:rRNA from 1 species